NNNNNNNNNNNNNNNNNNNNNNNNNNNNNNNNNNNNNNNNNNNNNNNNNNNNNNCAGACCACAGAAUCUCAGGGGACAACACCAGCAUCAACAGCCUCCUCUGCCAGGUCUACCACUCUGACAGCAGCUCAGUCCACAACCCCUACUCAACAGUCAGCCACCUCCCAGACCACAGAAUCUCAGGGGACAACAGGAGCCCCAAUACCAACAGCCUCCUCUACCACUUUGACAACAGCUGAAUCCACAACCCCUACUCAACAGCCAGCCACCUCCCAAACCACAGGAUCUCAGGGGACAAUACCAACAGCCUCCUCUGCCAGUUCCUCUCCUCUGAGAACAAGUGAAUCCACAACUCCUACUCAACAGCCAGGCACCUCCCAGACCACAGAAUCUGAGGGGACAACAGGAGCCCCAAUACCAACAGCCUCCUCUGCCAUUCUGACAACAGCUGAAUCCACAACCCCUGCUCAACAGCCAGCCAGCUCCCAAACCACAGAAUCUCAGGGGACAACAGGAGUUCCAGUACCAACAGCCUCCUCUGCGAGCUCCUCUCCUCUGACAACAGCUGAAUCCACAACCCCUACUCAACAGCCAGUCACCUCCCAGAUCACAGAAUCUCAGGGGACAACAGGAGCCCCAACACCAAUAGCCUCUUCUGCCAGCUCCUCUUCUCUGACAACAGCUGAGUCCACAACCUCUGCUCCAGUGAUCACAACCGUAUCCCUCUCAAGGAGCACAGGUUCAACAGGAACUGAGACCCUUUUCUCUACUACAGGCAGUAUUGUUACAGAGUCACCUACUGUGCAAACAUCACCCACUCGCUGGAGCCUUGUCAGCAUUCCUGGAUCGACAACACAAACUUCUCCUGCUGUUUCCAAGCCAUGGACAGAGAACACCAUUUCUGAGAUAUCCACUAGUCAACAGCCAGGAACCUCCCAGGCCACAGAAACUCAUGGAACCAUACCAACAUCAACACCAACACCAUCAGCCUCCACUCUCAGCUCCUCCACUCUGACAACAGCUGUAUCCACCACCCCUGCUCCGGGGAUCACAACAGUACCUCAGUCAGCGAUGGCUGAUUCAACUAUUCCUACCACUCUUGUGGUAGGAAUUUCCUCCACUCCAGGGAGUACUUCUCCAGAACCAUCUACUUCUGUUUUCAUCACAACUGUUGCUUCUUCCCCUUUCAGUCUCAGCUCCCCAACUGUGACAGCAGGAGCUUUUCCUGUGCACACUACCCUCACUACCACAGAAAGAAGCACCCUUUCCCAGACAGUAAGCACAAAUGCAACCCUCAAUGAGACAAUCCUUCCUGUAACAGUCCCUUCCUUGGAUCAUGAUCCAGUUAGUAGAACAUCUGUGCCCACCACUAAGAACCAGGUACCUGUAAGCACAACCACUCCCACAGUCCAUUCUGGGUCCGCUGCUCCGAUAGCACCCUUUGUGAGUUCUGCAAGCCCCCCAGGCAGCACACCUCACACCACACUUGUUGCAUCAGCAUCAUCCUUGUCCCAACCACCAACCAAGACAGCAGCAUUGACUUCCUCAGGACCUACCAUUGGUGAGAGUCCAGCACCAUCUUCACAGUCAACCAGUAGCUCUGCAUUCACAGAGAUUACUACUGCCACUCCAGGACUGCCAUCCAGCCCUCCUAGCUCUACAUUAAGUACAUCAAGUACCAUCACUGAUUCAGUCACCUCCACACAGUUCCCCAUUAUGUUGACCUCUGGAGCCACUGUCAUUGCAAACCAGACUCUUCCAUCCACAAGUCAUAUCACUACUCCACCUGUUGGGAUCACAUCCAAACCUAGCACUCUCCA
rnacentral:lncRNA from 1 species